rnacentral:rRNA from 1 species
CCCGCCGGCGACCGGCGCACGGGUGAGUAACACGUAUGCAACCUGGCCGCCACAGGGGGAUAACCCGCGGAAACGCGGCCUAAUACCCCGUGACGCCACCGGAGGGCAUCCUCCGGUGGCCAAAGGAGCGAUCCGGUGGCGGAUGGGCAUGCGGCGCAUUAGCUAGACGGCGGGGUGACGGCCCACCGUGGCGACGAUGUGUAGGGGUUCUGAGAGGAAGGCCCCCCACACUGGGACUGAGACACGGCCCAGACUCCUACGGGAGGCAGCAG